CGAAGAAGAUGAAGACUAUCAUGUUUCAUCAUCAUAUGAAAGCAUUGAUGAAUCCAAUGAAGAUGAAAUUGAUAAUUGUGAACCAUCUGAUGAUGAGGUGCAGCCGGAUGUUCUUGUUAAUAGUCCAAUGGUUGAACCAAUUUCAAUGUAUCCAUCUACUGAAGGUGGAAGUCAAUUUUGGGGUAAUUUACCCCACUACACUAACAUCAA